rnacentral:misc_RNA from 1 species
CUCUGAGAAGGGGCAGGGGGCACAGGGGCACAUCACAGCCGCUCGACACAACGGCGCGCACAUCAACGCCUCCCCUCCCACCGCCGGUGGGCCGUCUCGCUUCCUCCAUUUCCGCUUUUCUCCAGCUUUUGCAGCGCGCCAUGCCGCCGACUCGGAGCCGUCCAGUCGCCCAUCUCAUGACGAGCACCCCACCGCCACUGGACGUCAACUUUGGAAGCUACCUCCCGCCCCGUCCGGUGACGUCCCCCAUGCGCCGGGGCUUUCGCGGUGGAUCUUCUUCUCGCGCCCACAUACUGCACGGUGACGGUUUGACGACCGCAGCGGAAGCAGGAAGGAACUCUAAGCAAGCCAAUGCUGGGCCUCUGACGGGCAGCACAUCGUCGCCCGCUUGCAACUCCUUCCCCUUUCCACCAAGCCGUACGGAGCACUCCGCCACCACCUCUGGUCGCGCUUCCGCAGCGCCAGCACCUCCACUCCACGGAGGUGCGGCACCGCCAUCGAUGAUGAGGUGCAGUAAUGGAAGCGGCCUUGCUGCUCCUUCUAGCGCCUCCCCACGCUCACACGAGGGGUGCCUGCCGUCCUGGAAGGGGUGUAGCGGUGCUUCUAGUUCCUUUGUGGAGGAUCGGGUGCGGUGCCUAGCGCACCCCGUAGGCGUGGCAUCACUGUUGCCGGCGCCCUUGCAGCGCAUCCUCGCCAAUGUGCUGCGCAUUCUCCAGCAAGAACGCGCGCAGCUGAAAGGGCAGCGCCCGUGUCGGCGGCACUCCCGGUCGCUUGGCACCGGCGUCGACGCAGAGGUCACCGAGUGCAUUGUGGAUGCUGCGCAGGCGCCGUCAUUGGUGGCUGCCGCAGACAUUUUUUCCGCCUUUGUUACUGCACACCCGAUGGACGGGCUCACGCUGCUCUCCUCUCCAGUUGUGCUGGCUGGUGCAGCGCUCGCUGAGGUCGUCACGCUUGGCCAGAUCGAGUCGUGCGCCAUACCCAUGCCAGAACUAUUGUCUUUUCUUGACGCAGCCAUCAGCGUAGGCCACCCGGGUGCGAUGCACUCUGUGGCCGUCUGCCUGCGCGAUGGCACAGCGGGCCUGCAGCGAGAUGCAACAUCGAGCGAGACGUGGUUGCGAUGCGCUGCCUCGUCAGGCUACCUUCCUGCCAUGCAUGAGCUCGGCGAGACCUACGAGCGUGGCGCACCCGCGUCUUCCAAGCUGCCGGCGGAGGCGGCCGAAGACGCCGCGGACUGGGGCGAGGCGAUGCGGUGGUAUCGACAGGCGGCAGAGGCCGGGUACCCACCAUCGCAGCUAAACUUGGGUAAGCUUCUCCUUGCAGCGACUGAGCACGCCCAAAGCGAUUGCUCCGCCGCUGCGCCACAGGUGGUGCAUCUUUUCACGGAGGCCACGCGCUGGCUUCACGCGUGCGCUGCAACCGGCGUAGAGGAGGCAGUGCGCCUUGUGAAGCGCAUCGAGGAGCAAGGUGCGCGCUAAGGGACCCUGCUGUGCACUCGGUAGGAUCGGUGGGGGGACUACCAUGGAGUUUCAUGUGUAUAUAUAUGUAGAGAGAGAGGUGCAACGGACGUGCUCAUUAUGGCUGUCUGUCCGCCAUCAUCUCGAUCUCGGUCUCUCCGCCCUGCUCGCUGCAUCAUCUUCCUCUUGGCGUAUUGUUCGUGGUGGUGCGUGCCCCUCUACCUGGCAGCUAACGGAGGCGUGCUUGCACGCGACGAGGGGGGAUGACGCAUGGCGAGAGGAGAGCGCCAAGCACGAUGUGUACUCAAGGGCUAUGAUGGCAUACGCGCAUACGUGUGGGCGUGCUUGUCUUCGCGUGACUGGCUGCCGCAAUUUCACGUCUCGCGUGCCCUCAAAGCAGGCUCAUUACUGCCUCUUGUUCUUCGUUGCCCACCUUUCCUUCCGUAACGCAG